CGGCGGACGGGUGAGUAACACGUGGAUAACCUACCUAUAAGACUGGGAUAACUUCGGGAAACCGGAGCUAAUACCGGAUAAUAUAUUGAACCGCAUGGUUCAAUAGUGAAAGACGGUUUUGCUGUCACUUAUAGAUGGAUCCGCGCCACAUUAGCUAGUUGGUAAGGUAACGGCUUACCAAGGCAACGAUGCGUAGCCGACCUGAGAGGGUGAUCGGCCACACUGGAACUGAGACACGGUCCAG
rnacentral:rRNA from 1 species